rfam:Schistosoma haematobium scaffold467_2, whole genome shotgun sequence.
AUCAGUCUGACGAGUCCCAGAUAGGACGAAACGCGCGCCCUAGAU